UACAGAGGUGGCAAGCGUUGUUCGGAAUUACUGGGCGUAAAGGGCGCGUAGGCGGUUCGUUAAGUCCUGUGUGAAAUCCCCCGGCUCAACUGGGGAACUGCACAGGAAACUAGCGGGCUUGAGUUCGGGAGAGGGAAGCGGAAUUCCGGGUGUAGUGGUGAUAUGCGUAGAUAUCGGGAGGAACACCAGUGGCGAAGGCGGCUCUCUGGGACGGUACUGACGCUGAGACGCGAAAGCGUGGGGAGCGAACAGG
rnacentral:rRNA from 1 species